ACUCCUGCGGGAGGCAGCAGUGGGGAAUUUUGGACAAUGGGCGCAAGCCUGAUCCAGCCAUGCCGCGUGCGGGAAGAAGGCCUUCGGGUUGUAAACCGCUUUUGUCAGGGAAGAAAAGGUUCUGGCUAAUACCUGGGACUCAUGACGGUACCUGAAGAAUAAGCACCGGCUAACUACGUGCCAGCAGCCGCGGUAAUACGUAGGGUGCAAGCGUUAAUCGGAAUUACUGGGCGUAAAGCGUGCGCAGGCGGUUAUGCAAGACAGAGGUGAAAUCCCCGGGCUCAACCUGGGAACUGCCUUUGUGACUGCAUGGCUAGAGUACGGUAGAGGGGGAUGGAAUUCCGCGUGUAGCAGUGAAAUGCGUAGAUAUGCGGAGGAACACCGAUGGCGAAGGCAAUCCCCUGGACCUGUACUGACGCUCAUGCACGAAAGCGUGGGGAGCAAACAGGAUUAGAUACCCUGGUAGUCCCAUG
rnacentral:rRNA from 1 species